rnacentral:rRNA from 1 species
UGAAAAAAUUUAUUUAUUAAUUUUUUUUUAAUAAAUUUUUUUUAAUAAAAAUAAUUUUAAAGUUUUAUUUUUAGUAAAUUUUAUAGAAAAAAUAUUUUUUAUUAUAGUUUAUUUGUAUUGUAAAAGAAUAUUGAAAUAAUUUGAAAAAUUUUUUAUAAAAAGAAAAAUUAAAAUUUUGUGCCUUGUGUGUCAGGAUUAAUUAAUUAAAUGUUAGAAAAUUUAAAAUUCUCGAAUUUAAAAGAUUUAAUUAAAUAUUUUAUUUAUUGUAAAAUAAAUAUUAAAAAUUUUUAAUUAGAAAUUAAAAGUUAGUCGUUUUUAAAUUUAUCUAGUUCUUUAAGAAAUAAAUUUAAUUUAGAAAUUUUAUAUUAUUAAUUUAGUUGAAUUAAAUUAAUAAUUAUUUAAUUUUAAUAUUUUAUGGGAUAAGCUAUAAAAUAAAUUUUCAAAAAUAAAUAAAUAAAUUUAUAAAUAUAAGCUUAGAAAUAGCUAUUAUUAAUAAUUUUGUUUUAAUUUAUUUAGUUAAUAAAAUUAUUUAUUAAAUUUUGAAUAUUUAUUAAAGUAUUUAUUUUAAUUAUAAAAAUAAAAUUAUUAUGAUUAAAUUAGUAGAAAUAAUUUAUUAAAAAAAAUAAAAUAUUUUUUAGUUUAAAAAAAUAAAUUCGGUAAAAUUUUAUAUUUAACUGUUUAUCAAAAACAUUUCUUUUUAGAUUUUUUAAAAAGUAUAACCUGCCCAUUGAAAAUUUUAAAAGGCCGCGGUAUUUUGACCGUGCAAAGGUAGCAUAAUCAUUAGUUUUUUAAUUGAAGACUCGUAUGAAUGGUUGAAUAAAAUAUAUACUGUUUCUUUUUAAUUUUAAUUUAAUUUUAUUUUUUAGUUAAAAAGCUAAAAUGAAAUUUAAAGACGAGAAGACCCUAUAAAGCUUUAUAUUUUAUUUAAUUAAAAAUUAUAAAGAUUUAAAAUUUAAUUUUUAUUUUUAUAAAUAUUUUAUUGGGGUGAUAAAAAAAUUUAAUAAACUUUUUUAAUUUUUUAUUAAUAAUAUUUAUUUAAAUAAUAAUUUUAAUUUGAUCCAAAAUUUUUGAUUAUUAAAUUAAGUUACUUUAGGGAUAACAGCGUAAUUUUUUUGGAGAGUUCGAAUCGAUAAAAAAGUUUGCGACCUCGAUGUUGGACUAAGAGUAAAUUUAGGUGUAGAAGUUUAAAUUUUUAGUCUGUUCGACUAUUUAAUUCUUACGUGAUCUGAGUUCAAACCGGUGUAAGCCAGGUUGGUUUCUAUCUUAAAUUAAUUUAUAAUUUUUUAGUACGAAAGGACCAAAUAUUAAAACUUAGUUUUAUUAAUUAUAAAGAAUAAAAAUAAAAUAAUUUUAAAAUUUUAAAAAUAAAUAU